rnacentral:rRNA from 1 species
AACGAACGCUGGCGGCAGGCCUAACACAUGCAAGUCGAGCGCCCCGCAAGGGGAGCGGCGGACGGGUGAGUAACGCGUGGGAACGUACCCUUUGCUACGGAAUAGCCUCGGGAAACUGGGAGUAAUACCGGAUUUGUCCUUCGGGAGAAAGAUUUAUCGGCAAGGGAUCGGCCCGCGUUGGAUUAGGUAGUUGGUGGGGUAAUGGCCUACCAAGCCGACGAUCCAUAGCUGGUUUGAGAGGAUGAUCAGCCACACUGGGACUGAGACACGGCCCAGACUCCUACGGGAGGCAGCAGUGGGGAAUCUUAGACAAUGGGCGCAAGCCUGAUCUAGCCAUGCCGCGUGAGCGAUGAAGGCCUUAGGGUUGUAAAGCUCUUUCAGGGGGGAAGAUAAUGACGGUACCCCCAGAAGAAGCCCCGGCUAACUCCGUG